UUGGGCCUACGGGACGCAGCAGUGGGGAAUAUUGCACAAUGGGGGAAACCCUAAUGCAGCGACGCCGCGUGAAGGAAGAAGUAUUUCGGUAUGUAAACUUCUAUCAGCAGGGAAGAAAAUGACGGUACCUGACUAAGAAGCCCCGGCUAACUACGUGCCAGCAGCCGCGGUAAUACGUAGGGGGCAAGCGUUAUCCGGAUUUACUGGGUGUAAAGGGAGCGUAGGCGGCGAUGCAAGUCAGAAGUGACAGCCCGGGGCUCAACUCCGGGACUGCUGUUGCAACUGUAUGGAGAGAUUGCAGGAGG
rnacentral:rRNA from 1 species